rfam:Phytophthora parasitica P1569 supercont1.1992, whole genome shotgun sequence.
GCCCUUGUAGCUCAACGGUAGAGCGAUGGCUUUGAAAGCCAAAGAUCGGUGGUUCGAUCCUGCCCGGGACA